CAACUUAAUAGUAGCUAUAGGAAAUAAUUAUGUAUAUGGUAGCUAUAGAAAGUUAAUAGCCACUAAACAAUAGUGGUUUCUGAAGAUUUUUCAUAAGGGGAAUUUUACCUCUUAUAGCAAAGGUUUACACCCUAUUUAUUAUAAAUCAAAACCCGUUUAAAAAAUUAUUUUCUAUAGCUAUUUUUUAUUUUUUAUAGCAAAAUAGGUAUUUAUGGUAUACACUACCAUUAAGGCAUUAAAUACGCUAUGUACCAUUUUUCUCUCUCAUUCUUUCAGUUAUUCUCUCCCAAAAUUAAUGGGUUGAUAAUGAGGCAUGUUAGAGUUGAUUUUGUUGAGCUAUAUUAGGAGUGUAUCAUGCUAAUUGAUAUUAUUCCCGUUAUUAGACAGCUGAACAUACUUAUUUUUAAGGUAAUUGAUGUUACUGUAUUCAUGAAUACAUGGCUCGAAUACAUGCGCGUACAGCUGGACUGCCCUGAUUUUAGGCCUUUUUUGCUGUUGUAUGCAUGAAUACAGCAGAUACAUGCGCGUACACCUAGACUGCCCUGAUUUUAGGCGAUUUUUGCUGUUGUAUUUAUGAAUACAUGGCGCGAAUGCAUGUGAAUACAUGCACGUACAGCCGAACUGCCCUGAUUGUUAGACACUUUUUAAUGUUCUAUUCAUGAAUACAGCAGCGCGAAUACAGCGAAUACACUACCUUAACAACUUAAUAGUAGCUAUAGGAAGUAAUUAUGUAUAUGGUAGGUAUAGGAAGUUAAUAGCCACUAAACAAUAGUGGUUUCUGAAGAUUUCUCAUAAGGGAAAUUUUACCUCUUAUAGCAAAGGUUUACACCCUGUUUAUUAUAAAUCAAAACCCUUUAAAAUAUUAUUUUUUAUAGUUAUCUUUUAUUUUUUAUAGCAAAAUAUGUAUUUAUGGUAUACACUACCAUUAAAGCAUUAAAUACGCUAUGUACCAUUUUUCUCUCUCAUUCUUUCAGUUAUUCUCUCCCAAAAUUAAUGGGUUGAUAAUGAGUCAUGUUAGAAUUGAUUUUAUUGAGCUAUAUUAUGAGUGUAUCAUGCUAAUUGAUAUUAUUUCCGUUAUUAGACAGCUGAACAUACCUAUUUUUAAGGUAAUUGGUGUUACUGUAUUCAUGAAUACAUGGCUCGAAUACAUGCGCGUACAACUGGACUGCCCUGAUUUUAGGCCGUUUCUUGCUGCUGUAUUCAUGAAUACAACAACGCGAAUAUAUGCGCGUACACCUAGACUGCCCUGAUUUUAAGGGAUUUUUGUUGUUGUAUUCAUGAAUACAUGGCGCGAAUGCAUGUGAAUACAUGCACGUACAGCCGGACUGUCUUGAUGUUUAGCUACUUUUUGAUGUUGUAUUCAUGAAUACAGCAGCGCGAAUACACUACCUUAACAACUUAAUAGUAGCUAUAGGAAGUAAUUAUGUAUAUGGUAGCUAUAGGAAGUUAAUAGCCACUAAACAAUAGUGGUUUCUGAAAAUUUCUCUAAGGGAGAAUGCAGAUAACACAAAUUCAUACCAAUUGGGUUGGAGUUGCAAGCAAUUUAACAAGUACAAAGUCAUAGAGUUUGUGAGUUAUCCAACAGAAUAGCUAAAUUGGAUAUAGCAUGAAGUUCUACUAAUUUAUUAUGAGUCAUGACUUACAAACAGUUCUUAAAACUAUUUUUAUUUCUUUUCUUUGUUUUUCCAUUUCUUAAACAAUUAAUUAACUAUAUAAUUUUGCAUAUUUUUCCCUUUUUCGU
rnacentral:lncRNA from 1 species